UCCAAUCUGUUGGUGACAAACAUUGGAUUGUGAAUUUGAAUCCUAAGCGUGUUGGUUCCAGAUCGAUGGUUGGCAACACGUUUUCACCUAGAAGUAAAUCCCAAGCAACGAACACAGGAAGGAAGGAAGAAUCAAGAGUUGGUUUACUAUGUGAGGUUCGAUUCCUGACACCAUAAAGGGGAUAUUUGAGUGUUGUGAAUUUUUUAUUGCAUGUGGUCUAAGGUUAGGGUUUUUUAUUGAAUGUGGUCCAGGGUUUAGGUAUUUUAAUAGUGAAAUUUGUGGGUAGGGAAUCUAUGUGAUGCUUUAUGUUUGAUGUUUAGGGUUUUGUGUUGGUACCCUAGGGCUCGUACAAUUUCUUCAAAUAUUGCAAAUGGGGUUUCACAAUUUUGUUAAUUGUAAUGACAAGUCCCUUUUUUCAGGAAUUUAGUGGGAAAAAAAGGAUUUCUUUAAAUUUUUGCAAAUGAUAGUAACUAUGUAUUUACUAUGUCAAUUGGCUUUAGUUGUACAUAUGUUAACUAGUGUCAUUUCUGGUUGCUUUUUUCAUUUAAUUUCAGGUAAGCCUAUUCAAGUACACAAAGUAAGGCUAUAGAUAAACCACUCUUGGAUGAUGGUUUAUGUAGAAGCAAAGACUUUGACUUUGAUGUUUUGAUGAUGCCAUAUGAUCAUGAUGUUUUGAUGCCACAUGAACAUGCUCUUCUCAAGUUAAGAUCAAGACAAAAAUCCAAGAGAUUCAAGAUACAUCAUCAAGAAGAUCUCUACUGAUUUAGGGAGGGAAUUCCAAAUUGAAACAACAAGAGGUUUGGCCAAGAAAUUUAAGCAAAAAUGUCUUUUUCAAGAGAUUUACUCUCUGGUAAUCGAUUACCAGAGGAUGUAAUCGAUUACCAGUGGCCAAAAUGAUUUAUAACAG
rnacentral:lncRNA from 1 species